GAACACUUUUGAAACCAAUGUGGUUAAACAUUUUGAAAAGCAGUAUAGUUCAGUUUUCAUCGUCGAAGAACCAAGACGUAGCGAUGCGCAGUCAUUACUAAGAUAGUUUGAACACGCGUGUGUUAAUAUUUUAUGUGAUUGUGUAACUUUAUAUUGUGUGACGUAUUUUUUGAUAUUUUUGUAUACUUUUUGAAGUUUUUAAUCUAAAAGAACAAAUAAAAUUGCAAUAAGUGCAAAACCAUGGAGGAGUUAUCGAUAUAGGAUUUUUUGAGAUUGAGUGAAGCUGAAAAAGAUGCGUAUUUGAAGCAGCUACUAGGCGAGGACGAUCACGAUAAUUCGGAUCCUUCGGACAGUGAAGACGACGAGUGGUUUCCAAGCGACAAUAGAACGCAUAAUUCUCGUGAUACUGAACCACGCAAAGAGGCUUUCAGUCGAAAGUUACUUCGAAAAACCAGUAGCGGUGGUAGUACCUGCUGAUAACCAACGUCGAGACGUCACUGGCAAAAAAGUUGUAGUUGGGUCAUGCUACAUUUGCAACAAGCAGCCCAUUUUUAUGUAAACACCGCUUUUCAAAUCGUUCCAAAUUCUAGACAACAUUUAUGAAACUCCUGACUAACCAAGAGCUGCCAUGACAGAAUAUUUCUGCAUUUAAUUCUGCUAAAGAUUCACCCUCGGAAGACCCAAAGAAUACUUUUUUAAAUUACAAUUUGUGAGUGGAGAUGAAAGUUACAGUCUGCAAAGCUCUUGAACAAACUUUGAAGAGUCUCAAUUAGGGCAGUAGCUUCGUCUAUGUGUAUAGAAAUCAUGCGUGCUACUAGAUCACCGUGGCCGGAGUA